rnacentral:rRNA from 2 species
CGGCAAUAGCGCGGUGGUCCCACCUGACCCCAUGCCGAACUCAGAAGUGAAACGCCGUAGCGCCGAUGGUAGUGUGGGGUCUCCCCAUGCGAGAGUAGGACACUGCCAGGCA